UGAUUUGUCCCUUUUUUUAUUUUUUAUUCCCUAUAUACCUUAUUUUGAAAUUAAAUUUCUAAAGUGUCUCUUUUUUUAGUAUUCACUCGUCCAAUGGAUGGACGAGUUGCUGAAAAUAUUUUCAUGUAGUGUGGACUCGGCCAAUGGUUGGCCGAGCUAUUGAAGGAACGAAUUUUUUAAUUAUUUUUUAAUUUAAAUACAUUUAUUAUUAAUAAAUUAUUUUCAAGUCUACGCAGAUGUUAUUGAUUCUUCAAGAUAUUCAAGUCUAC
rnacentral:lncRNA from 1 species